UCCCGAUCAGAUUUUUACCUUUAUAGGCACUUUCGGCAAAACUAAAUCAUAUAAAUUAUUCAAUAUGAGUAUUCGAUAUUUUACGAGUCAGCAGGUGGCUCGUUCAGAGGUUGGACCGUCGGUAUCUAUAAUAUCGUAAACGAAAUCAAAAUGAACAGUAUGAAGAGGAGUGCCGCUGUGCCAUAUGUAUAUUGUCACCGCCGUCGCCGAGGGAGUAAAUAAGGUUUCAGACACGUUGAUGAAAAUGCAGGCGACCGUGAAUAUUAUCACCAUCAGUUCAACACACUUCACACUAUAUAAGCUCGGGGUGGUCACGAAAUUCGCACCGGGCUUAUUUAUCAACACAAAGGUCUAAUACUCAAAUCGAAUCACGGAAUCGUAAUAAUCAUCGCGAUUGCAAUAUAUUCAGAGACGAGAAUAAUUAUUACAGUACCUAAUGGCAGCCUUGAAACGUAGUCGUUGUGUAGGCGUUGUACUCAAUCACAAACAGACCGCAAUAUUUUAGUUGUUAUAGAUUCAAUUGCAGUCCCGCUAAUGAGGUUACACCGCCUAUACGACCUACGAACCGAAUUUAUUAUGGACGUCUUCACCGUGCACCACAAUACUACUGCAAGGCGCUCGACGACGACCAAAUAAUAUACAGUAAAAUCCCGGUACAACGAACUCCAGAGGACCGAAUUUUUUUUCGUUAUAACGAAAAUUCGAAUAAGCUCUUUAU